AGGCGCACAACUUUCCAGCUAGAAAUUUUCGACUCCUGAAACCGAGGUGUGGGCACAUGGCUGUGGGUACACCAAUUGCCCUUGCUGCAUGCUUCUGUCAUUGGAAGUCUGGUCUCCAAGCCACUGUCCCCAGCCAGCAUGACUCCAGCUGCCUGGAAUUCCAUUCAUCUCGGCCGGCUGGGAUGUGAGCAGCCGCUGCAGCUGCCGCCCUGCAUGUCAGGCUGGUCCCAGACAGGGCAUAGGUAGUAGCUUCACCAAAUAAGGAUGUCAGCCACAGGUCCAGGGAAAGCCCUGGGGUUCACCUCCCUUCCUUAGCUCUCACACCUGGCAGGACUCCUAACUGCUGGAAACACCCACGAGUUUACAUUCAUCAAACAACAAUUUCUCUUCUCUUGAGUGGGAGUGUUGUGUGACAAGAUACGGUGUGUGUGGAUUGGGGAGUGUUUUCUAGUAACUCAGUAUAUACAUCAGAUACCUCUAGAAGAUGACAGUGUGUUCCUAAGACACAUUUGUUUGUUGCUUGAGUAAUAACAAAACCUGCCAGAGGGAUAGAUUUCAGAUGCUGAGAGACAGAAGUAAAAGUCUCUCUUGGACGAUUAGUCAAAUCAGAUUCCUGUCCUGGAAGUCAUGGGUAGUGAUUCAUCCAAAAACGGUUUUGAACAGUCAGCAGCCAUCCGCGUGCCUCCCUUGCGUCUUCUUCCCUGCCAUCUUGUUUGUUCCUUAAAAAGUACCAACACCUUUUCCAUUUGCUACUAAUUCUUCCUGACACCAGCUACUUAGGAACAGUUUUCAGAGGAAUGGCUAACCGAUGGCCCCUGUUCCUUUGCUCAUUUUAUGCAGAGCAGAUGAGGGCUUGAGAUCCAGGAAAGACCUACAAAAGCAGGAUACAACUUUCCUUUUAUAAAGGGAUCAUCUCCCUUAAGCGAAACCGUGUGGAUGGAGAAGAAACUCACUGCGCUGCCCUUCAGCUAAGCUAUGGAAACAACCCAAAUGCCCAAAAAUAGAUGACUGGAUCAAGAAGAUGUGGUACAUAUACACCAUGGAAUAUUACUCAGCAAUCAAAAAAAGAUAAACGCAUGCAAUUUGUAGCAACAUGGAUGGAGCUAGAAGGGAUCAUGCUCAGCGAAAUAAGUCAGAAAGAAAAAGAAAAUACCAGAUGGUUUCACUCAUAGCAGGAAUUUAGAAAACCUAAAUAAGAGACCAGGAAAAAGGCUAAUCAAUACAAAGUAAAAAUCAACAUCAACAAGCAACUCUAAACC